rnacentral:snRNA from 1 species
AUAUAAGGGCGAUCUGUCACCCCAUUGACCACCAGGCUUGAUUUGGCUAAUCUGGCUAGCUUGGUGGGGGUCCCCUUAGCCCUCACCACUCUGUGAGUCCAUCCCAAAGCCGCGUGCUUCUCAGAAUAAAGAUGACCUGUCUUAGGCUGAGGGUUUACCAGUAGCUGCGCUCCCAUGCUAGAAUGUACAAACAAGCCCUGUCAAAGUGUAGCGCUAUGUGCAGGGACUGUGCAGGGCAUGGUGCUAGGUGUAUUAUAUUCUGCGUACUUGGUUUUUCUGCGUACUUGGUUUUAGACGCAAAAGCAA